UACGUAGGGUGCGAGCGUUAAUCGGAAUUACUGGGCGUAAAGCGUGCGCAGGCGGUUUUGUAAGCCAGAUGUGAAAUCCUGGGGCUCAACCCCAGAACUGCAUUGGAUACUGCUUUGCUAGAGUACUGGAGAGGGAAGCGGAAUUCCUGGUGUAGCGGUGGAAUGCGCAGAUAUCAGGAGGAACAGCCCGUGGCGGAAGGCGGCUCUCUGGGACGGUACUGACGCUGAGACACGAAAGCCAGGGGAGCAAACGGG
rnacentral:rRNA from 1 species